rnacentral:lncRNA from 1 species
ACUAUAAAAAUAAAGUCAAAAUUAGCCGACGGAGUCUAAACAAAAGUUGUAGAGUACGUCUCCACCUACGCGUGGAUAUAAAGAACGUCAAAAAUGGAGUUCGUAUGAACGAGUUACAAAUUAUAAUAACAUAUUUACGUAUUAAAAUAAAGUAUAAAUCAUGUAUACAUACACAUAUAUAUACACAUAUGUAUAUAUCAUUAGAAAGGUAUCGACGAUGCGGUCAUUAUAAGACUAAUGUUGAGUUCUUUCGACAUUAGUUUAGUACAAAUAUCAUUAAAUCCAUUUAAAAUAGUAUUAUAGAGGGGUGUUUAGUUGUUUAUAUAACUAAAAGGUCAUUAAGUAAUUAUGGAGGGUAGUUUUUGAAAAUUCAAUUAGUAUAAAUAAGAGCCUUGGGCUCUCAUAUUUCUUGCACCAUUCUCUUGAUUCAAGAGUCUUUCUCUCCUUAUCCCCCGAGCAUUUCGGUCCCUCGUGAUUCGACUUCUCUUUCUGUAGUUUAGUAUAGUAAGGUGAGCGCUGAAGCGCUGCACAAAUCUUUCUUAGAAAGAUUCAGCGACGAAGUUCUGCUCCUGCAGAGCCCGACUCCUAGCUAAAACCCCCUUGUAAGUAAGUUAUGCUUACCUUAUUUUAAUAUAGCUUAUAUUUAAAAUUAGUAUUGUUAUUAUGAACUUAUAAUAAAUAUUUGAGCUAUUAUUAUAACUUAUAUAAGUGUCGUUAUAAUAUUUUUUUUAACUACUCGCGGUACGGGGAAUCUGGUUUAAAGGGCCGCAUAGGGUUGUUGGAUUUCAGAAGUGCUAUAUGCCAAAAUGGUCCUGCCCUCCGGUGUUUUAUGUCUGGCCCCUGUCUGUACAUAGUGGUUGGAAAAUAUUGUUUAACGCUUAUAUAAUAAUAAUAAUAAUAAUACUAAGACUAAUAGUUGGUCACGAUAAAUAUUAGACUAAAAUUUAGCGAUAAUAAUGCUAGGUUUCGUCGAAGGAAAAUAGAAUCGUUAGAAGCAAGCGCUGCCCGAUUUUGGAAUCAUCACCUUAACAAGUGAGUGCAUAGUUACUUUCAACUUACACAUAGAUAUGAAGUAUUUUAUAUAAAUUACGUGCUAUGUGUGCAUAUUAUCUGAAUACUUGCUAUCUAUGCNCUAUGUGUGCAUAUUAUUUGAAUACUUGCUAUCUAUGCUGGAUGAACGUUUUUAUACAUGUUCUCAAUGAUUUGAAUUGUAUAUGUAUUUUAUAUCUACAAAAAAAUGUUGGGGUAAAACAUGGGUAGAUGUCAUAGGUGAUGCGUGAUAAAAUGAUGAGAGGUCUCAAUGUUGGUGUUGUUGAUUCUGUCAUCAAGCGGAGUAUGGAUGACGACCACAGACUUUUCUAGACAGUCCGUUGGAACACUAGCAGGCUCGCAACCUGUAGGUGUUUGUGAACGAUGUGUUCACCGGUGUACUCCAUCCCCCACAUGGUUGCCUUUAGGACAUUUAUUGCUGAGGAAUCCCCUUAGCAGUAGUGUCCGUCCCGAUGAUGAUCCUUAGGCUAGGUCCCUUAUGAUAGGUGUUUAGGGACGUAAAGUGAGGAUAACGGGAACGGGUAAUCGGGUUAUUGUUGAUUGAUGAAAUUAAUAAACUUAAUUAUUGUGGGUUGAAAACCCUAUGUGCUCACCAGGCUUCCAAGCCUGACCCACUCAGUUUUAUGUAUUACAGGUAGUGGCGCUUGAGCAUAGAUAUGAUGUUUGGACGAGGGAUUACGGAUAUAGGCCUGUAGAUAUGAAAUAAUGUAGUAAGGCUUAUAUUGUACUGUUUAUGCUUUUGAUCUGUACGAACAUGACAUCCCAAGUCUUUUAAUGAAAUACAUUUCUAUGGAAAUGCUUUUGAUAAAUCUUUAUCAUAUUUUGUUUUGGGACAAAUUCCGCAACACUUUUAUUUAAAAUGUUACUCUGAUUUUUAAACAAAGCAUAAACAAAAUCGGUCUUUUCUGGCCGUGAUUUUGGGGAUGUCACAGUUGGUAUCAGAGCAUUAGUUUAAGCGAACUAGGAAUUUGUAGGAUUUCUAGACUUAAACUUAGAAUGCUAAGCGAUGAUUGUGAGGUGUGAGCACUAGCUUAUUUUAGGAAUUGUGCCUAAAAUGCUUUUAUGUGCUAAAUGCUUUGUGCAUGAUAUGCUGUUAAUUGUUCGGAUCUAUGGUCUGUUGCCGACCGGAUCUGGAAACCUUAUGUGUUUAGGAUUCUAAACGUACGACUACGAUAUUAGAACUAGCAUGUAAACGUUUCGGAGUGAUAAGGACGAUUUAAACGUCUAUCCUAAAUAAAGAUCUAAAUUCACCUUAUUCGGUGUAUAGAUCAAGAUGGCAAGGACUCGUAGCGGAAACGUGAACGCGAAUGGAGAUAGGAACCAACCCCCAGUGGUUCAACAAAUACCUGUUGUAGAAGAAGUUGCACCUGAGCCAGUCACGAUGGCCGGAGUGCAAGCGAUGAUCCAGGCUAUGUUGGAUCGUCAAAUGGAGGAAACUAGACGUUUGCUCCAGCAAAAUCGAGAGGAAGGCACUAUUCAAAUCGAACAGCCCGAGUUGAACGAAGGGCAGACUGAGGAAGGAGACUACAGUGGAACUGUUGGUCAAGUCAACCAACCAAUAGUUCAAGAAAAUAACCAAGAUGACGGAUUCGAGAGAAAUGGAUGCAAGUACAAGGAUUUUCAGACUUGCAAGCCAUCGACUUUCACGGGAAAGGAAGAUCCAAUCGGAGUCAUGGAUUGGAUCUCGGAGAUGGAGUUAGCUUUCAUGACAUGCGGUUGCAGAGGGAAGCUACAGACCACGUUUGCAGUGCGUCAGUUUCGAGGAGGCGCUGUACGUUGGUGGAAUACUUUGGGGAAGACUUUAAGCCCCAACAAACCCCUGGAACUGACAUGGGCAGAAUUUCUGGUACAAUUCAAACGAAAGUACUGCUCAGCUCAAAACCUGCUCGAGCUAGAGAACCAGUUUCUAACCCUAAAGAAGGGGAGCAUGUCAAUCGAUGAAUACACGAACAACUUCACAGAAAAGAUGGAAUUUGCCUUGCGUCUUGUUCCGGAUGAGCUGACGAAAAUUGAUAAGUACGCAAAGGGAUUACCAUGGGAGUACGCGGUGCCAGUGCGUCAGGCACCUACUUUGGAGGCAGCUAUCUGGGCUGCCAAGUCUGUGGAGGAUAUGAUUAAGGGAAGAGCUGCCAGCAAAGUCGAGGUUGGCGAGAAAAGGAAAUUUGACGGAUCCUCAAGGUCCGGUAAGAAGGGUAGAUUCUCGAAGUCUGGUUCGAGAGGAGGAGGAUCAGAAGCGAAGUGGUGUGACAAGUGCAAGAAAAAGCACUCUGGGAAGUGUGACGGAGGGGUCACUUGUUACAAAUGCGGAAAGCCUGGGCACUAUGCCAACGAAUGCACGUUCACUAAGAAGGUCUGUUAUGAGUGCAACGAGGAGGGGCACAUUUCAAGGGAUUGCCCGAAGAAGAAGGAUGCGGGAAGACCCAACAUACCACCGAAGCCGAAGGCGAGAGCCUUCCAGAUGACGCUCGAGGCUGCGAAGGAGGCAGCAGACGUCGCUUCAGGUACCUUUCUUGUAAAUGGUUUGCCUGCAAAUAUACUAUUUGAUUCCGGAGCCAACUACUCCUUUGUGUCGCAUAAAUUUGGUGGGAAAUUAGCAUUGCCUGUAGAAAAACUAGAUAAUGCCCUGAUUGUAGAAGUUGCCAGUGGCAAAUUCGUACCUGUUAGUAAUCGUAUUAGGAACAUCGUCAUUGACCUAAACGGAAACGAAUUCCACGAAGAGCUAUUACCCAUAGAGUUAAACGGUUUCGACAUCGUUUUGGGUAUGGAUUGGCUAAGCGCCAACGAUGCUGAGAUUCAAUGUCGAAAGAAGAUAGUAAGGGUAAACCCACCCGGAAAGGAAUCAUUUAUGGUGUACGGGGACAAACGCAGAGUGAAUUCUGGAAUCAUCUCCCUGAUGAAAGCCAGGAAAUGUUUGUCCAAAGGAUGUGCAUCAUACUUGGCAUUCGUAAUCGAUGCUAAGAAGGAAAAGAAAGAGGUGCAGAAUAUACCAGUUGUGUGCGAUUAUCCGGAAGUCUUUCCUGAAGAUCAUCCCGGAUUACCACCUGAUAGACAAGUGGAGUUUCGUAUAGACUUGUUACCAGGUACAACACCAAUAGCAAAAGCACCUUAUCGAUUAGCACCGACGGAGAUGAAGGAGCUUAUGAUGCAACUUCAGGAGAUGUUGGACAAUGGUUUCAUUCGACCUAGUUCAUCACCUUGGGGAGCUCCGGUGUUAUUCGUAAAGAAGAAGAAAAAGGACGGAAGUAUGAGAAUGUGCAUAGACUACCGAGAGCUGAAUAAGGCAACGGUGAAGAACAGGUAUCCAUUACCGAGGAUUGAUGACCUAUUCGAUCAGCUGCAAGGUUCGAGCUACUUCUCAAAGAUCGAUCUUAGGUCGGGAUAUCAUUAGCUAAAAGUGAGAGAGCAGGAUAUUGAGAAGAUUGCAUUCAGGACGAGAUAUGGACACUACGAGUUCUUGGUUAUGUCGUUUGGACUAACCAAUGCUCCAGCAACAUUCAUGGAUUUGAUGAAUAGGGUUUGUAAACCAUUCCUCGAUAAAUCCGUGAUAGUGUUCAUCGACGACAUUCUGAUCUACUCAAAAAGCCAAGAGGAGCAUGGCAAGCAUCUACGGGAAGUGUUGGAAGUGUUAAAGAAGGAGAAGCUUUACGCUAAGUUCUCCAAGUGUGAUUUUUGGAUCCGAGAAGUCCAAUUCUUGGGUCAUGUGGUUAACCAAGAAGGGAUAAUGGUUGACCCAGCAAAAAUCGAAGCUGUAAUGAAGUGGGAACGUCCAAAGAGUCCCACGGAGAUCCGAAGCUUUCUAGGAUUAGCCGGAUAUUAUCGACGAUUUAUCCAAGGCUUUUCUUCGAUAGCUGCUCCAUUGACAGCUUUGACCCACAAAGGAUCCAUAUAUAUAUAUGGAGUGAGAAACACGAAGAGGCGUUCGAGAAGCUAAAGAAGAAGUUAUGCGAAGCACCGAUACUUUCUCUACCCGAUGGAGUUGAAGACUUCGCGGUUUACAGUGACGCAUCUGGAGUCGGGUUGGGUUGUGUUCUGACCCAAAGAGAAAAGAUGAUAGCAUACGCAUCUCGACAAUUGAAAGAACAUGAAAAGAACUACCCCAUUAAUGAUCUGGAGUUGGCAGCGGUAGUAUUUGCCUUAAAAAUAUGGAGGCAUUACCUCUACGGCACGAAGGGCAAACUCUUCACUGAUCAUAAGAGUCUCCAGUAUCUCUUUAAUCAGAAGGAGUUGAACAUGAGGCAACGACGCUGGCUAGAACUUCUCAAGGACUACGACUGUGAGAUACUUUACCACCCAGGUAAAGCAAAUAUUGUUGCUGAUGCUCUCAGUCGGAAAGUCAAUCUUGAAAGGAAAAGGCCAAGAGCGUUAAGAAUUGAAGUCGUUUCGACGAUUGUCGAAAGUAUCAGGAAAGCUCAAGAAGAAGCUUUAGAGAAAAAUGACCGAAAGGAAGAACGUUUGGGAAGAACGUUAGUGUUCGGUACAAACAAUCGAGGACUGAAGGUAUUCCAAGAUCGAAUUUGGGUACCUAAGACGGGAGGAAUAAGAGAUCUUCUGAUGGAAGAAGCACACAAGACCAUGUACUCGAUUCAUCCCGGUAGCACUAAAAUGUAUAGGGACCUAAAACCCUACUACUGGUGGCCGACGAUGAAGCUCGAUGUUGCGAAGUAUGUGGCCGAGUGCGUAACAUGUGCGAGGGUUAAGGCACAACAUCAGAAACCGUAUGGGAGUUUAGAACCUUUACCUGUACCCAUGGGUAAAUGGGAAGACAUCACCAUGGAUUUUGUGACUAAACUGCCCAGGACGAAGAACGGUCACGACAUGAUUUGGGUAGUCGUGGAUCGUUUCACCAAGAGUGCACACUUCAUAGCAGCCAACGAGAAGUGGUCUAUGGAUAAGCUCGCAAAUGCUUACGUGAAGGAAAUUGUAAGACUUCACGGUGUCCCUCUUACGAUUGUAUCAGAUCGUGAUAGUCGUUUCACGUCAAGGUUUUGGAGGAGUCUACAAGAGGAGUUAGGUACAAAGUUGUGUUUGAGUACUGCUUAUCAUCCGCAAACUGAUGGUCAGAGCGAAAGAACGAUUCAGACGCUGGAAGAUAUGCUGAGAGCAUGUACCCUCGAAUUCCAAGGGAAUUGGGACGAGCACUUACCUCUGGUAGAAUUUUCCUACAACAAUAGUUUUCACUCGAGCAUCAAGAUGGCUCCUUAUCAAGCCUUGUAUGGGCAGAAGUGUCGUACGCCGUCUUGUUGGCUUGAAGCCGGAGAGAAGCAGUUUAUGGGCCCCGAGAUAGUCCAUGAGACUGCUGAGAAGUUGAAGGUGAUUAGGGAAAGGAUGUUAGCAGCCCAGGAUCGUCAGAAGAGCUAUGCUGACAAGAAAAGACGACCGAUAACUUUCGAAGUUGGGGAUUCCGUUUUGCUUAAAGUCUCACCGUGGAAGGGACUUAUACGAUUUGGGAAACGAGGAAAGUUGAGUCCAAGGUUUAUUGGACCGUUCAAAGUUCUUCAGAAGAUAGGGAACCAAGCUUACAAGCUGGAAUUGCCCGAAGAACUCAAUGGUAUUCAUAACACCUUCCAUGUGUGUUAUUUGAGGAAAUUCACGGGAGAUGUUCCCGACAUAAUUCCAAUCUCAGAGUUAAGGAUGGAUGAAAAUAAAAGGUUGAUCGAAGAGCCUGAGGCAAUUGUUGACCGUAAGACUAAGAAGUUACGACGCAAGAUGGUCGACUUGGUGCUAGUCCGAUGGAAACAUUCGAAUGGGCCGAAUCUCACUUGGGAAACAGAGGAUGACAUGAUGAGUCGCUAUCCACAUCUGUUUGCUGAUGCAUGAUUCCGGGACGGAAUCAUCCUAAGGGGGAGAGAAUUGUAACGCCCGGGUUUCAGGGCUAAGCAUUUUUGUCAAUGUAAUAGUCUAGGUCAACUCUUGUAACUCUUUUUGAAGUAAUAAAGAUGAAAUAUUUGAGUAUUAUGUGAAUUAUAUGUGUUUAUUAUUUAAUUAUAAAUGUAUAAUUAAUAAAGAAUAAAAAUGAGCGUCAAAAUUAAAGUGUGAGAUAAUCCCGAUAUCUCUACAUAAAGUUGUAGAAUAUGUCUCAAGGUUUCCGUGCAUAUAAGGAACGCCGAAAUCCGAGUUAUAACGAAGAAGUUAUGACCCGUCGAAGUUUCACGACAGAACCGGCACGAUACCGGGAAGCGUGAAUAGUGAAUUUACGAUAGAGCGAGAUUUAGCCUUAGUGAUCUAAACGAAAGUCGUAGAAUAUGUUAAACUAAGAACAUCGAUAAAAAGAACGCCCAAAUCUGACUUCGUAUGAAGAAGUUAUGAGAUUUUAAACAGACCAAUCCUGUCCCGGCUUGUUAAAAAUAUAACUUUAAAAAUAAAGUCAAAAUUAGCCGACGGAGUCUAAACGAAAGUUGUAGAGUACGUCUUCACCUACGCGUGGAUAUAAAGAACGUCAAAAACGGAGUUCGUAUGAACGAGUUACAAAUUAUAAUAGCAUAUUUACGUAUUAAAAUAAAGUAUAAAUCAUGUAUACGUACACAUAUAUAUACAUAUGUAUAUAUCAUUAGAAAGGUAUCGACGAUGCGGUCAUUAUAAGACUAAUGUUGAGUUCUUUCGACAUUAGUUUAGUACAAAUAUCAUUAAAUCCAUUUAUAAUAGUAUUAU